rnacentral:rRNA from 1 species
CACGUGGGAAUCUGCCUAGUAGUGGGGGAUAAGCCAGAGAAAUUUGGUCUAAUACCGCAUACGCCCUACGGGGAAAAGGAAGGGAGUCUUCGGACCUUUCGCUAUUAGAUGAGCCCGCGUCGGAUUAGCUUGUUGGUGAGGUAAAAGCUCACCAAGGCGACGAUCCGUAGCUGGUCUGAGAGGAUGAUCAGCCACACUGGGACUGAGACACGGCCCAGACUCCUACGGGAGGCAGCAGUGGGGAAUAUUGGACAAUGGGCGCAAGCCUGAUCCAGCCAUGCCGCGUGUGUGAAGAAGGCU